UUCCGUUUGAUCCUGCCGGAGGUUACUGCUAUCGAGGUUCGACUAAGCCAUGCGAGUCGAAUGUAGCAAUACAUGGCGUACUGCUCAGUAACACGUGGAUAACCUACCCUUAGGUCGGGGAUAAACCCGGGAAACUGGGUAUAAUACCCGAUAGUCCUCGAAUGCUGGAAUGCAUCGAGGUCUAAAGCUCCGGCGCCUAAGGAUGGGUCUGCGGCCUAUCAGGUAGUAGUGGGUGUAGCGUACCUACUAGCCUACGACGGGUACGGGUUGUGAGAGCAAGAGCCCGGAGAUGGAUUCUGAGACACGAAUCCAGGCCCUACGGGGUGCAGCAGGCGCGAAAACUUUACAAUGCUGGCAACAGCGAUAAGGGGACCUCGAGUGCCAGGUUACAAAUCUGGCUGUCGUGAUGCCUAAAAAGCAUUGCAUAGCAAGGGCCGGGCAAGACCGGUGCCAGCCGCCGCGGUAACACCGGCGGCUCGAGUGGUAACCGUUAUUAUUGGGUCUAAAGGGUCUGUAGCCGGCCGGAUAAGUCUCUUGGGAAAUCUGGCAGCUUAACUGUCAGGCUUUCAGGAGAUACUGUCUGGCUCGAGGCCGGGAGAGGUGAGAGGUACUUCAGGGGUAGGGGGAAAUCUUGUAAACUGAAGGACCACCA
rnacentral:rRNA from 1 species